rnacentral:sRNA from 1 species
AUUCUGCCCAUGCGGGGAAGGAUGAGAAGCUUCGACUAAGGUUCGGCUCGAGCGUCAGCGAGAGAGAGUUGCCGCAGGCAACGACCCGAAGGGCGAAGCGCGCAGCGCUGAGUAAUCCUUCCCCCACCACCA